UUGAACUGUUGAACCCGGUUUCGCGCCACUUCUCCGCACUUUGGGCUGCGCGCUGCUCUCCGGCUUCAGUGACUCACGAAACGCCACAGAGGGAACGACAGCCUCCUGACAUGACAGCUCUUCUUGAGACAUUGUCAUCCAAUUUGGAUGGAACAACUUCGUGACCUUAAUGACACCCAGCAACACGAGAGAAACACACAAAAGCACACAAGCACCACAGGGGAGGAUCUGCAGCAAAGGGCCCACCGGAAAUCAAACCUUGGCCGCUAUGAUGACGACAACAUGGGGCACUUGAGUGUGAAUCUAGCCUUUUCAUUUUGAUUUACAACCUUGGCAUUGAAAAGAGCAAAAGUUGAUGCUUGAGAUGAUUUUGUUUUUACUGAAGAGGAUGUAUGUCCUCCCCUUGUCCUUUAUCUCCUUACUCUUUCUUUUUAGGUGUGAC